AAUAAACAUUUUAAUUAAUCUCUCUUUUCUCUCUCCCUUCCCGCAGAAAGAAACCUAGCCAUGGCUUCCAUUCCUUGCUCCAUUCAUCUCCACGAAUCAUCUUCCUUCGAUGAAAUCGACGUUUCUUCCUUCAUCCGUUCUAUGGGGAGGAUUGCGUCCUCUUUGUGCGCCAUUCGAAGGCGUCUCGGCCGGAACCGGGCGAAGGUUGGCCCUGAAACACCACAGAAGCCGCGAGAAGAGAUUCGGAGAGCCGAUGUUUGCUCCAACUGAAAGUCGGGAGGAACAAUAUUUACCAUCAUUCAGCUGAUGUCUGAGUUCAAAUAAUUUGCUAUCUUUGGAAGAAAGUAUGAGCAAAUGUUGAAAUUAGCUUUCUACAAUAUUGUUGCUUUUGUUUAUAUGAUUUACACUGUAUUGAAAAGAUGUGAAAUCCUGCUUGUCUAUGUUGUCUAGACAUGAUCUGAAUUUCUCUUGUUUUUUUCCCUAGCUUGGUUGUGUUUCCAUGUCUAGAAGAGGCAUCAAAAUUAUGAGAUCUGGACAACUUUUUUA